rnacentral:rRNA from 1 species
GCCCAGACUCCUACGGGAGGCAGCAGUGGGGGAUAUUGCACAAUGGGGGGAACCCUGAUGCAGCGACGCCGCGUGGGUGAAGGAGCGUUUCGGCGCGUAAAGCCCUAUCGGCAGGGAAGAAGGAGGACGGUACCUGACUAAGAAGCCCCGGCUAACUACGUGCCAGCAGCCGCGGGAAUACGUAGGGGGCAAGCGUUAUCCGGAUUUACUGGGUGUAAAGGGGGCGCAGACGGCGAUGCAAGCCAGGAGUGAAAGCCCGGGGCCCAACCCCGGGACUGCUCUUGGAACUGCGUGGCUGGAGUGCAGGAGGGGCAGGCGGAAUUCCUAGUGUAGCGGUGAAAUGCGUAGAUAUUAGGAGGAACGCCAGUGGCGAAGGCGGCCUGCUGGGCUUUUACUGACGCUGAGGCUCGAAAGUGUGGGGAGCAAACAGGAUUAGAUACCCUAGUAU